CCUACGGGUGGCAGCAGUGGGGAAUCUUCCGCAAUGGGCGAAAGCCUGACGGAGCAACGCCGCGUGAUCGAAUGAAGGCCUGCGGGUUGUAAAGAUCUGUUGACAGGGACGAAGAAGCAAUGCAAAUAGGUUUGUGUAUGACGGUACCUGUUGAGAAAGCGCCGGCUAACUACGUGCCAGCAGCCGCGGGAAUACGUAGGGAGCAAGCGUUGUCCGGAAUUACUGGGCGUACAGGGCGCGUAGGUGGGCGCUUAAGUCAGGGGGGAAAACUCCGGGCUCACCCUGGAGACUGCACUUGAAACUGGGUGUCUUGAGGGCAGUAGAGGCAAGUGGAAUUCCUAGUGUAGCGG
rnacentral:rRNA from 1 species